AGAGGACAUAAGGCAAUGGUGGUGUCAUACAUACCUCAAUGUGGUCAUGGAUUGAUGGACCUACAAAAGGAAACUGGAUCUCUGAUUCUACAAUUAGGAGAAAGAAGACACACAUUCAAGUUUGAAUGGAGGAAUAUGGAGCAAACAGUGUCAGAGAAGAAGGUACAUGUGGAAGCUCAUGACUGGA